rnacentral:ncRNA from 1 species
UGAAGGUGCCCGAUGCCUACACUCAUCGAUGUAGUUUUAUCAGGUAAACGAAUGACCAGAGGUCUUGGGGCUGAAACAAUCUCAACCUAUUCUCAAACUUUAAAUGGGUAAGAAGCCCGGCUCACUGAUGUGGAGCCAGGCAUGGAAUGCGAGUGCCUAGUGGUCCACUUUUGGUAAGCAGAACUGGCACUGCGGGAUGAACUAAAUGCUGGGUUAAGGCACCCAAACAGGGCCUGGCAAUUCCUCAUAAUUAAGGUCAUAGGCAGUGAAAAGCUUAUCAAGGAG